rnacentral:rRNA from 1 species
UGGGACUGAGACACGGCCCAAACAUUAUUUUAUGGCAGCAGUAGGGAAUUUUGGACAAUGGGCGAAAGCCUGAUCCAGCAACAUAACGUGAAAGAAGAAGACUGUAUUGGUUGUAAAUUUCUAUAGUGAGUGUAAAGAUUAUGACUUUCUCUCACGAAAAGUCCUGGCUAAUCUCGUGCCAGCAGCCGCGGUAAUACGAGGAGGGCAAGCGUUAUUCGGAAUGAUUGGGCGUAAAGAGCAUGUAGGCUGUAUCCUUCUUAAUUAUGGGAAUCCAUUUUUAACUAAAUGACUUGUUAAGAAAAAUCAAAGCUUCACUUUGAUAUGUUAGCAAGAGAGGUAUACUUGAGUAAUGCAGAGGAGAGUGGAAUUCUUGGAGUAGAAGUAAAAUUCCUUGAUCUCAAGAGGAAGGCCAAAAGCGUAGGCAACUCUCUGGGCAUUUACUGACGUUGAAGUGCGAAAGCGUGGGGAGCGAAAAGAAUUAGAUACUCUUGUAGUCCACGCCGUCAACGAUGACUUUUAUUUGUUGUUUUUCGGAAAAAAGCAGCGGAGUAGCUAACGCGUUAAAAAGUCCGCCUGAGGAGUACGGUCGCAAGAUUAAAACUCAAAGGAAUAGACGGGGAAUCGCACAAGUGGUGGAACAUAGCGGUUUAAUGCGAAACAACACGCAAAACCUUACCAGCUCUUGAUAUACUAUUUUGCCCUUUCUUUGUUAUGAAGAAAUGUGGUUUUAGUACAGGUGUUGCAUGGCUGUUGGAAGUUCGUACUGCGAGGCGUUGGAUUCAUUUCCUUAACGAACGAAACCCCCACUUUCAGUUGCUCUCUAGAUCUAGAAAGCUAGAGCACUCUGGAAGAACUGCCGGUGAUAAAUCGGAGGAAGG